CAACAUGGAGAGACAAUUCGCAUCCCGGGUACAGAAGGAGCUAGCCGCCCUGAGGAAGUCCCCUCCUGUCGGUAUCCAGGUGUCGCUACCUUCAGACGACCUGCAUGUGUGGGAGGCUGUCAUCCCGGGGCCACAGGACUCUCUGUACAAAGGAGGGAAGUUCAAGAUUCAGAUACUUCUUCCCGAAAACUACCCCCUUGGGCCUCCAAUCGUGCGCUUCAUCACGCCGAUCUACCACCUGAACGUGAGUCAGACUAGCGGCCAGGUGUGUCUCCGCUUCCUGGCUGAAGAUGAGUGGGUGGCAGGAGGAACCAUUGA